CCUGCCCUAAAGUCUGGGAUACCACUUGGAAACAGGUGCUAAUACCGGAUAACAACAAUAGCUGCAUGGCUAUUGCUUAAAAGGCGGCGAAAGCUGUCGCUAAAAGAUGGACCCGCGGUGCAUUAGCUGGUUGGUAAGGUAAUGGCUUACCAAGGCGACGAUGCAUAGCCGAGUUGAGAGACUGAUCGGCCACAUUGGGACUGAGACACGGCCCAAACUCCUACGGGAGGCAGCAGUAGGGAAUCUUCCACAAUGGGCGAAAGCCUGAUGGAGCAACGCCGCGUGAGUGAAGAAGGUUUUCGGAUCGUAAAGCUCUGUUGUUGGUGAAGAAGGAUAGAGGUAGUAACUGGCCCCUAUUUGACGGUAAUCAACCAGAAAGUCACGGCUAACUACGUGCCAGCAGCCGCGGUAAUACGUAGGUGGCAAGCGUUGUCCGGAUUUAUUGGGCGUAAAGCGAGCGCAGGCGGAAAGAUAAGUCUGAUGUGAAAGCCCCCGGCUUAACCGAGGAAUUGCAUCGGAAACUGUGUUUCUUGAGUGCAGAAGAGGAGAGUGGAACUCCAUGUGUAGCGGUGGAAUGCGUAGAUAUAUGGAAGAACACCAGUGGCGAAGGCGGCUCUCUGGUCUGUAACUGACGC
rnacentral:rRNA from 1 species